rnacentral:rRNA from 1 species
UACGUAGGGGGCAAGCGUUGUCCGGAAUCAUUGGGCGUAAAGAGCGUGUAGGCGGCCAGAUAAGUCCGCUGUGAAAUCUCGAGGCUCAACUUCGAGCUGUCGGUGGAAACUGUCUGGCUAGAGUCCGGAAGAGGAGAAUGGAAUUCCUGGUGUAGCGGUGAAAUGCGCAGAUAUCAGGAAGAACACCUAUGGCGAAGGCAGCUCGCUGGGACGGUACUGACGCUGAGACGCGAAAGCGUGGGGAGCAAACAGG